rnacentral:rRNA from 1 species
UACGUAGGGGUGCGAGCGUUAAUCGGAAUUACUGGGCGUAAAGCGUGCGCAGGCGGUGAUGUAAGACAGAUGUGAAAUCCCCGGGCUCAACCUGGGAACUGCAUUGUGACUGCAUCGCUGGAGUGCGGCAGAGGGGAUGGAAUCCGCGUGUAGCAGUGAAAUGCGUAGAUAUGCGGAGGAACACCGAUGGCGAAGGCAAUCCCUGGGCCUGCACCUGGACGCUCAUGCACGAAGCGU